rnacentral:rRNA from 1 species
CGCUUACCAAGGCUACGAGUGGGGUAGGGGUCCUGAGGAGGGAGACUCCCCCACACUGGUAAAAAAAAAAAACUGAGACACGGACCAGACUCCGUACGGGGAGGCAGCGGUGAGGAAUAUUGGACAAUGGGCGCAAGCCUGAUCCAGCCAUGCCGCGUGCAGGAUGACGGUCCUAUGGAUUGUAAACUGCUUUUGUACAGGAAGAAACACUACUUCGUGAAGUAGCUUGACGGUACUGUAAGAAUAAGGAUCGGCUAACUCCGUG